GUCAUAUGAUGAAUCUAGGUUGGCAUAGACACAAUAUAAACCAGAGUAUUUCAUUGUCUGAAAUCUUGGUGGCUAUACUGAAACUGUGUGGUCAUCGUAAGGCCGGACAUAUAUUACUGGCACGCCCCAUUGUUUGGGUUGGGUAUCGCUGGGGUGCUUUAGGUCUGACUUCCAGAGAUGGAUGGGUGCUGUGUCGAACAGAGACUUUCUCAUGGGCUUGGGUUGGAUUUUUAAGGGGUAAACUAGUGUCUGUGAUGUCAUAUUUAGUAAUCUGAUGACA